UGAGGAAAAGAAACUAACAAGGAUUCCCCUAGUAACGGCGAGUGAAGCGGGAUGAGCUCAAGCUUAAAAUCUCCGUGCAAUUUUUGCACGGCGAAUUGUAGUCUAUAGAGGCGUGGUCAGUAUAAGCACUUGGGGUAAGUUCCUUGGAAAAGGACAGCAUGGAGGGUGAUACUCCCGUUCAUCUCUAAGUUGCUUGUGCGUACGACCCGUUUUCUUUGAGUCGCGUUGUUUGAGAAUGCAGCGCAAAGUAGGUGGUAAAUUCCAUCUAAAGCUAAAUAUUGGUGCGAGACCGAUAGCAAACAAGUACCGUGAGGGAAAGAUGAAAAGAACUUUGAAAAUAGAGUUAAAGAGUACCUGAAACUGCUGAAAGGGAACCAAAUCGUUUCCAGUGUCUAUAAUCCGUGGUAUAUUUCAUUGGCGAGUGUGUGCGUGCGUGUGCUGUUGCAGUAGCUUUUUGGCUGCGCUCAGUGUGUGUGCUGUGUGUACUUGCUGGUGCCCUGUGCUACGGUGGGACGUCAAGGUCAGUUCGUAUGCUGCGGGAAAUGGCUACUGAGGAGGUAGGGCUUACGCUUGCGUUUGUCUGUUAUAUCUUGGUGGACGAGUCGUCGCGGUUGGGACUGAGGUGCCUACAACGUGCUUUUGAGUGGGCUUGGGUCUCCGUGUGCGCCGUGUGCGGAUAGCUUGCUAUGCGUGUGUGGUUGUAUGUGGAUUGAUGCGAGCCGUAACUUGUAGUCGUUCGGGACGUUGACGAAAUGGAGCGAUUUGACCCGU
rnacentral:rRNA from 1 species